rnacentral:lncRNA from 1 species
UUUCAGCCUUAAUGCAGCUGAAUUGUCUUUGAGAAGGCAUCACGAAAACAUGGAAGUUGGAGUUUUGCAGUUUGAAGGACCGACAAAGGGAUUAUAUGGGCCAAUGGGUUCGUGACCCUUCCUUGUUGCCGACUGCAAUUUUGUACAUUGAUGAAUCCUCCUUACCACGAAGCAGUGAAUAAAUGGACUAGACAUCUCCUUCUGUAGGGAAACAUCCUGGUGACAAAAAGAAAGAACAGAGCAUCUCAGGAAGACAUUCAGGAAAAGCCAGCUGCAGGUACAUGAAGAGUGAGAAGCCUCACCCAAGAUGACUCCAAUGCUGGAGAGGACAACAGAAUGCCUGCCAUGGGGGGCUGUACUGGAGAGGAAUCUAACUCCAGAAGGCCUCAGCAUAGAAGAAAGCAGCACA